rnacentral:lncRNA from 1 species
CUCUACCUCAUGUGGGGGAGGUAGACUAGGAAGUUUAUUGGGAAAGAAAUUUGAAAAAUUACAAACAAUUAGUAUGGAACACACAGCAGGAUCAAUGUCCAUAUUCCUGUUCAUUCAAUUGUUAGGAAAAUGAUAACAACAAUUUUAUUUCUUUUUCGAGGAUUGUAAGUUUAGAAUUUUACUUUCACAAUCUAUUAUAG